AUUGAACGCUGGCGGCAUGCUUUACACAUGCAAGUCGAACGGUAACAGGGAGCUUGCUCCGCUGACGAGUGGCGAACGGGUGAGUAAUGCAUCGGAACGUACCCAGUCGUGGGGGAUAACGUAGCGAAAGUUACGCUAAUACCGCAUACGUCCUGAGGGAGAAAGCGGGGGACCGAAAGGCCUCGCGCGAUUGGAGCGGCCGAUGUCGGAUUAGCUAGUUGGUGGGGUAAAGGCCUACCAAGGCGACGAUCCGUAGCGGGUCUGAGAGGAUGAUCCGCCACACUGGGACUGAGACACGGCCCAGACUCCUACGGGAGGCAGCAGUGGGGAAUUUUGGACAAUGGGGGCAACCCUGAUCCAGCCAUGCCGCGUGAGUGAAGAAGGCCUUCGGGUUGUAAACUUCUUUACUACGCGAAUAGAGGUUAGUACGAGAUACUAAUAGGAAGGUAGUGUAGUAAAAAAGCACCGGCUAACUCCGUG
rnacentral:rRNA from 1 species